rnacentral:tRNA from 2 species
AGGGGCGUAGACUAGUGGUUAUUUCGCCACGCUCACACCGUGGAUGUCAAGAGUUCAACUCUCUUCGUCCCUA